UACGGGGGGGGGCAAGCGUUGUUCGGAAUUACUGGGCGUAAAGGGCGUGUAGGCGGCCAACUAAGUCCGACGUGAAAUCCCCAGGCUUAACCUGGGAACUGCGUCGGAUACUGGAUGGCUUGAAUUCGGGAGAGGGAUGCAGAAUUCCAGGUGUAGCGGUGAAAUGCGUAGAUAUCUGGAGGAAUACCGGUGGCGAAGGCGGCAUCCUGGACCGAGAUUGACGCUGAAGCGCGAAAGCUAGGGGAGCAAACGGG
rnacentral:rRNA from 1 species